rnacentral:rRNA from 1 species
CUCAAAUGUGAAAGUCGAGGGCUAUCCAAAGGGGGUACAGCCCCUUUAAAAAAGGACACAACCUCCUUCAGCGGAUAAUUUCCACACAUCUAGUCCCGUGGGCCUUAAAGCAGCCACCCCUAAAGAUUGCGUCAAAGCUCCACCAACUAAAAACCCCAAAAACAAUAUGACUCCCUACAUUCAUAACAGGCCAACCUAUAACAAUAGAUGAAUCAAUGCUAGAACGAGUAACCAGGACACCACGUCCCCCCCAGCGCCAGCUUAUAUACCAUUAACAGCAAAACCUCAAUAAUAACCACCACACCAUUGAGUACACCCUGUCAAUCCAACCCAGGGGCGCAUACUGGAGUGAUUAAAAUCUACAAAAGGAACUCGGCAAACCUAAGACCCGACUGUUUACCAAAAACAUAGCCUUCAGCCAAACAAGUAUUGAAGGUGAUGCCUGCCCAGUGACACC